CCGUGAUAACGUAGCAUAAUCAUUCGCCACCUAAUUAGUGGAUAGUAUGAAUGGUAAAACGAGUAUAACACUCUCUCAGAAGGAAGUUUUAUGAAAUUGGAAUGGUAGUCAAGAUACUACCUAAAACUGUAAGACGAAAAGACCCUAUAGAGCUUAACUACACCUUUCUCACAAAGUUAAGUUCACUUAAGUUCAAGGAAGAUUGGUAGUUUAGUUGGGGCGACUGCUUUCUAGUAAAAACGAAAGCAAGCAAUAUUAAUUAUCUAAUUUACUGUCUAAUCUAUGUGUUUAACAGUUAUAAAAAUAGGCAAUAGUGACCCGUUAGUAACAAAAAACACCACUAACGAACAAUAAAUAAAAGCUACCUUAGGGAUAACAGGAUAAUCUUGUUCUAGAGACCCUAUCGAAAACAAGGUUUGUCACCUCUAUGUUGAAUUAAGAUAUCCUAGAAAUGUAGAAGCUUCUGAGG
rnacentral:rRNA from 1 species